rnacentral:rRNA from 1 species
GAACGCUAGCUACAGGCUUAACACAUGCAAGUCGUGGGGCAUCAGGAAGAAAGCUUGCUUUCUUUGCUGGCGACCGGCGCACGGGUGAGUAACACGUAUCCAACCUGCCCUUUACUCGGGGAUAGCCUUUCGAAAGAAAGAUUAAUACCCGAUAGCAUAAUGAUUCCGCAUGGUUUCAUUAUUAAAGGAUUCCGGUAAAGGAUGGGGAUGCGUUCCAUUAGGUUGUUGGUGAGGUAACGGCCCACCAAGCCUUCGAUGGAUAGGGGUUCUGAGAGGAAGGUCCCCCACAUUGGAACUGAGACACGGUCCAAACUCCUACGGGAGGCAGCAGUGAGGAAUAUUGGUCAAUGGGCGCUAGCCUGAACCAGCCAAGUAGCGUGAAGGAUGAAGGCUCUAUGGGUCGUAAACUUCUUUUAUAUAAGAAUAAAGUGCAGUAUGUAUACUGUUUUGUAUGUAUUAUAUGAAUAAGGAUCGGCUAACUCCGUGCCAGCAGCCGCGGUAAUACGGAGGAUCCGAGCGUUAUCCGGAUUUAUUGGGUUUAAAGGGAGCGUAGGUGGACUGGUAAGUCAGUUGUGAAAGUUUGCGGCUCAACCGUAAAAUUGCAGUUGAUACUGUCAGUCUUGAGUACAGUAGAGGUGGGCGGAAUUCGUGGUGUAGCGGUGAAAUGCUUAGAUAUCACGAAGAACUCCGAUUGCGAAGGCAGCUCACUGGACUGCAACUGACACUGAUGCUCGAAAGUGUGGGUAUCAAACAGGAUUAGAUACCCUGGUAGUCCACACAGUAAACGAUGAAUACUCGCUGUUUGCGAUAUACAGUAAGCGGCCAAGCGAAAGCAUUAAGUAUUCCACCUGGGGAGUACGCCGGCAACGGUGAAACUCAAAGGAAUUGACGGGGGCCCGCACAAGCGGAGGAACAUGUGGUUUAAUUCGAUGAUACGCGAGGAACCUUACCCGGGCUUAAAUUGCAGUGGAAUGAUGUGGAAACAUGUCAGUGAGCAAUCACCGCUGUGAAGGUGCUGCAUGGUUGUCGUCAGCUCGUGCCGUGAGGUGUCGGCUUAAGUGCCAUAACGAGCGCAACCCUUAUCUUUAGUUACUAACAGGUUAUGCUGAGGACUCUAGGGAGACUGCCGUCGUAAGAUGUGAGGAAGGUGGGGAUGACGUCAAAUCAGCACGGCCCUUACGUCCGGGGCUACACACGUGUUACAAUGGGGGGUACAGAAGGCAGCUAGCGGGUGACCGUAUGCUAAUCCCAAAAUCCUCUCUCAGUUCGGAUCGAAGUCUGCAACCCGACUUCGUGAAGCUGGAUUCGCUAGUAAUCGCGCAUCAGCCACGGCGCGGUGAAUACGUUCCCGGGCCUUGUACACACCGCCCGUCAAGCCAUGGGAGCCGGGGGUACCUGAAGUACGUAACCGCAAGGAUCGUCCUAGGGUAAAACUGGUGACA